UUAGGAAAGGUGUUGGGAGAAGAUGGGGAAUUAAUUGGAGGUGAAAUUUUGAAGCAAUUUUGGUAUAGAAGAGAAAAGAUGAAGAAUGGAAAUUUUUUUGUGGUUCUCGGCAGAGGAAGGAGGAGAAAAUGGAGGAAAAGAAAUGAGUUUCUCUCUCUCUUCUAGCCUUUUCUUCUUUCUUCUUUUCUCUUUCUUUUUUUUUUUUUCUUAUUCUUUAAAUUUACUAUUUCUUUAUUUUUAUUUUACUAUCCUUAUUAUUAUUAUUAUUAUUAUUAUUAUUUUUUAGGAUGUUACAGUACAUACCUUGUCCAAUUAACUUCUUUUCUUUUAUGGCAUAUUUGGAAGAGUAGAAAUGCUUUGAUUUUCAGGAACACCAAUCAAGAUCCCAAUGAGAUUAUCAUGACAGCCCUACACCAUUUAGAAGAUUUCAUUUCUACUAAAAAAGAUCUCUUCCCGAUUAGGUAUCCUUCUACAUAAGCUGAUCUCUCCCCCUCAGUGUGGACUCCCCCUCCACCUCUUAUUCUUAAAAUAAACUUUGAUGCGAUAGUUGACGAGGGAAGCGAUAGAGGUUCUUUAGCCGUUAACAUUGGUUUUAGCACUGCAAAACUUUUAACAAUAUCUUAGACCCCUUGGUUUUGGAAUACUUAGCCUAUAGAGAAGCUCUUCUCAUAAUUGUCUAGAUAUUAUUGUUGAAGGAGACGCUUUGAUAGUGAUUCAAGCUAUCGCUUGUCACAUUAUUCCCAUUGCUAUUAAAGAGUUGAUCAAGGAUAUUCAUGAACUUUCAAAAUCUUUUAGAUCGAUUUCCUUCAAUCAUGUUAAGAGAGGGGGGGGCAAUCAAGUUGCUCAUUCUUUGGCACAUAAAGCUAUAUAUGAUGUUAUUUUUUUUUCAUAAUGAGUAUGUUGAAAUGAAUUUUGUACUUGACAGUUUGCCUCAUUAAUUUUACUUUGACUUAAAAAAACAUAGAAAGGGAGGCAUGGGUGAGUUGGGCUAUAUAUAUAUGGAAAAUUACGAACAAUGGCUAGGCUUUUCCGCACUAAUUUAAUUACUAUUUUUUAUAUUUGGAGAAGAUGUAAAAUGGAGAUAAAGAGAUUGAAAGCAAAAUAAAUAUAUUUUCUUAAAUUGAGAACCGAAUAGAAUAAAAAUAACUCACAGAACAGGGAUCUACAAAAAUUUAGAUUCUUAAAUAUUGCACCAAACAAAAAAAAUCCUAUUAAUUUGUUAUGGAUAAUAUUGUUUGGUAGUCUUUUAAUUUAACAAAACUUUUGAUCAAACAUAAUUUAGGCACAUUUUUCCUGCUGUUAUUAAUACUGAAUCAAAUAUUUUCUAACUAAUUUUGUAAUUUUAGUCAUAUUUUGCAGAAAAAGUAUAAUAUUUGAUGAAAAUGGUUUAAAAGUAUGGAAACUGACUUAACUGAGUGAUUUGGGCAAACCUUCCAGUGUACUUCAUAGAGGCAAGAGGAUUGCACAGAAAUUCGGAACUGACUAGACUUGUAUAACAGUUCUCGGACAGUGAUUUACCCAAAUCAACUGGGCAAAUAGAUAGAUUGCAUAAAAUCAAUGGCAGAUGGGAAAGUUCUAGAUUUGAAAAUUUAGAGACCUGGUCUUCGCAUUAAAACUGUGAGAUCCAUGCUAGAAUCUCCUUAAACAUGCAACACAAAGUCUUCCUUAAAUCAAAGAAUUCUAUUCAUAAAGAAACACAUUAAAGAAAGGAAUCCAAAAUCAAAUAAAAGAAGAAUUAUCAUUCCAAAAGGAUUUCUACUAGGGUUUUAAUGCCUAUUUAAACAAAGCAUUGAGAGCAGCCGCAGAUCAUCAUCUCUUCUCCAGCAUCGAAUCUGCCUCUUCUUCUCUUCUUUUCUCUUUUGUAUUUUCUUUGCAAGUCAUGAGUGGCUAAAUGCUUUAUUCUAGUUGAAGUUAGGAAGAAAUUUUAGUUUCUAUAUAAAUUGAGAGAUUUAAACUCCAUUAUUCAUAUUUUAUUUUUCAAUAUUUAUGCAAAUUUCGUUCUUUAUAUUAUUAUCGCUUUAUCAUUGGAUCCCAUUGUUCUUGAUUUCAAAAUAAUAUAUUGUUAGUUUAAAUACUUGAAGUCCGUAAUUAUUUAGGUUAUUUCAAACAUAAGUAACAAUUAAUAUAAUAAUUAAGAAGUUGCAUAAUUUAACUCAAAUUCACUACCCGGCUGGUCAGUUAGAAUUAAAUCUCUUUAAAACUUAAAGCAAUUGAUAAAUUAAGAUUCUGAAAAUGUUCUCUGGACAGUUUGUUGGCUAGAAAUUAAUUAGUGAAUAUUUUCUAAUUAAUUUAAAAUCUAAAGAGAUAUUGGUUAUGCUAAUAUUUUCCAAAACUAUAACUAAUUUAUUAAAAUAAAUAAAAAUAUUUUUGUAUCGAUAAUCAAUUUCCAAACUGAAAAAAUCCUACACUUUAAUUAAAACUUGUUUCAUUAAUUUAUUUCUCUCUUAAUUUUUGUUUCCUUUAAUUUCUUUAAUCUUUAUUUUAAUUUAUCAUCAAAAUUCCUACUUAUUUUAUUUUCAUUGUUUACUUGUUCUAAUCAUUGUUGAGUAAGUUUUAGUGUCAAGUUUUAGUGUCAAUUUCCUAUAUAUUCGAUUAUAUUAUUAUUAUACAUAAUUUAUAUUUAUUGAUAUUUAAUAGAUAAUUUUUGGUGGGACACUCAUCGGCCUUCUAGGCAAGAGAUACAGAAGCAAGGGUUUGGCUUACACUAUUAUGAUUUGCUGGAUUUGCCAACGCUUGGAACGUUGCAGAAAAUUGUACAAGGCAAGUGGAGAUGCCCUGUCUAGGGCUAAACGUUAGGUAGGCAGCAACUAUGGGGCUGUUGCGACAGAAACAGCACUUUCUUAACGUGCUAAAAGAUCUUGGAAACAUCACGUGGUAACGUUGGCAAGCUUUUACUCGCUAAUCCUUUACAUAUUCAUUUCCUCGUGGGACUGUAGUUGGUCCCUGCAAUGGUUCCUGACUAAUUAUACAAUUCUUCACUAUUUGGUUUUGCAAAUAUAGUCGUUAGCAAUGUAGAAGACACAGUGCCUUUCCCCCACCGAUGCUUGUAGUCUUGGGCUGCGUCCAGUUUGAAGGACAGAACAGCACAGGAAAAGAAAAGAGACGACUUAUCCAUUAGCCAUCAUUAUUUUUUUUCCUCUGAAUUAUUUUGAAUUUCGAAGAAAUGGUUGAUUUUUACAAACAAAAAAAAAAGGUUUACAGAAAAAGAACUUCGCAUUGUAUUUGCCUCCUGUGACCAUAGUUAAAUGCUUUGGAAAACUGAAUUGGAAGCUGUGAAGCAACCCUUUCGAAUCCCACAUCGACAAAUGUAAGACAAAGGAGCGUGGAGACUUCGUCUAUGAAUAUGGAAACACGAGACUGUUAAAAUCAUACCUUUCUCGGCCUUUUGGCUAAGAUCAAGUGUAGUAUCUGUUCUUAUCAGUUUAAUAUCUGAUACGUGGGUCAAUGGUCCACUAGAUAUUAAAGUUAUUUUUUAUGGGGGAGGGUCCGCUACAGUAGCUUGCUAUUGGGGUUCUCUUGCGUUGUCUGUGCGUUGCACUACAGCACUGGCCUGGCGCACCCCUCCAAUCCCAAUUUCAAGGUUUCAAUCGGGUAGAUCAGCCGCCUUUGUACUAAAGUGUAUGUCUUAAUUUAUUACUUAUAACAGAUAAAUCAAAUAAUAAAUAUUUUCACUAGAAAGUGAUUUGAGAAUUAAAUUAAAUUAUGUGUAUUUUAAAAGAUCUCUUCUCCUAAGUCACUUCUAUUUUUAUGAGCUAUGCUAAUUAAAUCAAUAAGUUUUCAAAUAGUUCAUUUGAAAAAAUGACUGCAAUUUGUAGUUCAUUUGAAAAAAUUGAAACGUUUCUUAUUAUUGAACAAUCAUUAUAUUUUCUAAAAAUAAAAUUUUUUUUAUUAAGAGAGAAAUAAUAUUAUCAUUUUUAUUCAAUAAAAUAUCAAAACAGAGUAUUAAUUCAUUUUAUACUAGAAAUAAUCACAAAAAAUAUUUUAAUAGUACAUAUCCUUAUUUUUCAAUGAUAUUCCACAAUCAAAAUAAUUUAGCUGAAUUUCAUAAAAAUUUAUUAAUAUCUUCUUUUAUAAAAUAAAUUAAUUUUGAUUUUGAAUAAUUUACCUCACUUCUGUUUUUAUUAUAAUACAAAAUUCUUUUUUAUGUGAAAAAAGUUCGUACAAAAAAUUAUGAUUUUACGUAUAUAUAAUUUUUUAAUAUUUUAUUAAUUUAUAACAAAAUAUAAAAAAUAAUAUUUCACUGAUUAAAUUAUAAAUAUUUAACAUAUUUAUAUCUAAUAAUAUAUAAUUUAUAAAAAUCUUUUUAUCUGUUAAUUUAAUUUAAUCCAUUCAUUUAUAAAAUUAUUUAUUUGAUAGCAAAUAUUUUUAAAAUACCUCAAAUAAUAGUACUUCAUUUAAUUUUACAUGGUUUCAAUCUAAAUUUUUACUCCAUUUUCUUUUAAAUUAGAUUUUUAGGAGCUGUCUCUUUUGAUUGUUAAGAAUCUAUUAUGAAUUAUCACAAAAGCAAAAAUAAAACUUAAAGGAUCACCUUUAAAUCCAAGUCGAUGUGACUCCAACAUGAGUAAUGAUAUAAUUUUCAUUUAUUUUGUGUUAGUGGAUUCUUUUUAGAAAAACAGAAACGAUAAUAAUAAUAAUUAAUAAAUUUUUGAUGUUGAAAAUUAAAGAAAAAUGUAACUAUUUUGGUCCCUCAGCCAAUCGUUUUGACGACACAUUUGCGGUUGCUAGCAGUGGCGAGUAGCAGCGAACUCAUGGUGCAAAUUGAACUAUUUGAGACCACACACGAGAGGCUAAGAGCUGAAUUGCCUGGAAAAUGCAGUCCUGUGGAUAGGAUAAAUCACAAGAGACAAAACCUGUAUCUGCGUCCCGUCCUCAGGUCCAUUUACGUGUCCUCAUCUCUACCUGUUAAACAAACAAAUAGGCACCACCUGCUAAUCCCACCCUCGACGUGCCUCGAGAUUAGCUCCCUCCUUCUCAACGACUUCUACUGACCCAAACGGUGCGCUUCACAAGAUACAACGACGUCGCCAGCCAUUAGCCGAUAUUAAAAUUUACAAACCUAACAAAAAGCAGUUGCCUUUUUCUGCUUUGGCAACUAUUGUAUGUGUUCCGCUGUUCCAGAGAAAAACAAGAGCUCCUAGACAUGGCCUCAUUUCCCCGUGUUUCUCUUUCCAAGACACAAGGCUCCCCUUCUUUUUCCAACUCAUUGUUAUUAUCGCCUGCAGGUUCUUUUCCUAUCCGAGCUCCUAUUACUCCUGACGAUGAUUCUUCUGAUUUUGAAUCUAUCAGUCAUACUGACCACGGUUACAGUGAUACUAGUAUCAGUAUUGAUAAUGGGUCUGAGUCUGACGAGUACGUUAGUGGUGAGGAGUAUGAAAGUUUUUCCGAGAAGCUUUUUGCAGGCGACCCAGACGAAGAAAGCCCUGAUGAGGAAAGUGGCCGUUUGGAUAAAAAUAAACUAUCUAGGCCUUUUGUGCCGAACCCAGAUAAAGUAACUUUGGGAAAUUCGGUUACAGACGAGGAGAGUGCGGUUACUGGUCAGUAUAGCCCUUUUGUUGAAACCAAUAGUCCUUAUUUGCAGCGAAAUAUGCCUGUUGCCCAAUUAACAAUGGAUGAUAACGAUUUUGAGGAGUUAACAAGUGAUGACGGAAUUGUGAGCGGUGCUACGGAAGAUAGCAGGUUUUCAGCUAUGAUUAGUGCACCUAGAGUCAAAGUUUCGGAUUUUGAAGAAGAUAAAGAAGAUGAGCCAUGGGUGCAAAGAGAUUCAUCUGUUAUAAACAAGAUUGAGUUGUUACAAGGGGCAGAUAGUUUGGGUAAUUUUGUCGGAGCAGAACAUGGUGUUUUGAGUAGUGAAGAUAAUGUAUUGGGCUCUGUUUCAGUUAAAUUGAUCAAGCAUGAUUCCCAUGUGUUUACAAUGGACGCUCAAGUUGAGCCUUUGAUGGAAAAUAAAGGGAAUUCGCAAAUGAAGGAAGAUGCUAAGCAUGUAGUUGAUGACCCUGCUUCGGUUGAAUCCGUUGAGGAUGAUGGACAAGUUGUACCAGAUAGUGAGUUUUUGGUGGAUAGUAAAGAAGACGUAUUGGGGAAAUAUUCUCAACUGGGUGAUGAUGGUAAGCAACUUGUCGAAGAAAGGCUGCAACUUGAGAAUUUGGAGGAGGAGCAGAUUAAACCGAACUUUACAGAGGGGCACAACGGAAAGAGUAUGGAGAAUGAUUUUAUGGAUAACGUAUCUGACCAAUGCAUUGGCAGCCAUGUAAAGGAACAGAUUUCUGAAAAUGGUUGUGGUGGUGCCUAUGAAAGUCAGUUGAAUCAGGUUGAGAACAUUGCGCCAGAUAUAACAGAACUGAAGGUUGAUGGUGUUGUCCUGCAAAAGGAACAGACGAGUGAAAUAGUUAACAGUUCUAAUGAAACUUUUGUAACUGUAAUUAACCCUGUUGAUGAGUCGCUUCAGAAGAUUGUGGCAGAGCUUCAAGAAAUGGAAUUGGAAGUCUUGGGGGUGGAGGCAGAAAAAACUACAGAUUUUGUGAACGGUUAUCAUAGUUGUGUCUUUAAUGGAAGUGAUGCCCUUGAGGAAGGCAAUGGCAGUGAGAAACUAAAGGGUAAAUCUGGGCCAGAAACUGGUAUGACGUUUGAAUCUCUUGCACUUGAAGAUGACAUCAGAGUUGAAUCUGCAGACGGUGCAUUUGAGUCGAACGGAACUGUGGAUUUGUUGGAAGAUAUUGCUUUGCCUGAAAUGUCUGGAGUUGAUAGAUUAGAAGCAGCGUCUCAGGGAAAUACAAAUUCUUUUGGUAUUGGAGAAGAAGCAAACCAUGAUUCAGAAAAGAUAGGAGGGCAUGGAGGUUUGCUUUCUGAUGAAGAUGUUGAAGAAUUGAUAUUUGGAGGCUCUGGAAGUAUUGAGCAUAACAUGAGUGAAUUGGAGAAAAGUGCAGCCUUUUCUCCUUUUCCUGCAGCUGAUGAUCGUCAAUACAGAAUAGAUGGACAGAUUAUUCUCGACUCAGAGGAAGAAUUGGAGACAGAUAAAGAGCAUGAAGAAGAGAAAUUAUUCGACUCUGCUGCAUUGGCUGCUCUUUUGAAAGCAGCAACUGGAGUUGAGUUGGAUGGAGGCAGUGUCAUGGCUACCUCUGCGAGUUCUGAAGUAUUUUCUGCUCAGCAGUGUGCUGGUUCAGGUUCCUCAUUUGACAUUAAACAAGCUUCACAAUUGAGUAUGGUCAAGGAUGUUGUGAAUGAUAGUGCAGGUGAGGAAGAAAAGAUGAUUAUUGAAAAGAUACAGCACAUUAGGGUGAAGUUCUUGAGGCUUGUCCAGCGACUUGGACAUUCUCCUGAAGAUUCAAUUGUUGCACAAGUGUUACAAAGGUCGGUCCUAGCUGCAGGAUUACAUGCUAGCCAUGAAUUUACCCUCGAAUCUUCUAAGAGAAUGGCCAUGCAGCUUGAAGCAGAGGGCAAAGAUGAUUUAGACUUCGGUUUAAACAUUUUUGUUAUUGGGAAAACUGGAGUGGGGAAAAGUGCUACCAUUAAUUCUUUAUUUGGAGAGAAGAAAGUCAUGAUCAAUGCAUUUGAACCUGCCACAACUAGAGUUAAGGAGAUUGUUGGAACAAUAGAUGGAGUUAGGAUCAGAAUCCUUGACACACCAGGUCUCAGAUCCCCUGUGAAGGAAGAAGCUAUCAACAGGAAAAUAUUUGCAUCUAUAAAAAGGUUAAUAAAGAAGUUCCCACCAGAUGUUGUCCUCUAUGUUGAUCGUCUAGACACCCAUGCAAGAGACCUCAAUGAUUUGCCAUUGUUAGCCUCACUUACUAAUUCUCUCACUGCAUCAAUAUGGCAAAAUGCCAUUGUCACUCUGACCCAUGCAGCAGCUCCUCCUCCUGAUGGGCUAUCUGGAUCACCUCUAAGUUUUGAGGUUUUUGUUGCUCAACGAUCCCAUAUUGUUCAGCAGGCUAUUAGCCAAGCAGUUGGUGAUCUGCGUCUAAUGUAUCCAAGUAUGAUGCAUCCAGUAUCUCUUGUUGAGAAUCAUCCAUCAUGUCCAAAGAAUGAAAAAGGAGAAAGCAUCCUCCCAAAUGGACAAAGUUGGAGAACCCAUUUAUUACUCUUGUGCUACUCAUUGAAGAUUUUGUCAGAAGUGAGUUCUCUAACCAAGACUCCAGAUCUUUUUGAUUCCAAGAAGCUGUUUGGCAUACGGCUACGUCCCCUACCUCUGCCCCACUUGGUGUCUUCUCUAUUGCAGUCUCGCCCUCAUCCAAAACUCGCUGCUGAGCAGGGUGGUGAUGAUGUUGACUCAGAUAUGGAAUUGUUAGAUUUAUCAGAUUCUGAUGAAGAAGAUGAGUAUGAGCAGCUUCCACCAUUCAAGCCUUUGAAAAAAUCUCAGGUAAAUGAGCUUAGCAAAGAGCAGAGGAAAGCAUAUUUUAGCGAAUAUGCAUAUCGGGUGAAACUCCUUCAGAAGAAGCAGUGGAGAGAGGAGGUGAAAAAGUUGAAGGAGCUCAAGAAGAAAAGCAAAGAUAGCAAGAGCAAACAUGACAGCACAGGAGAAGAUGUGGACCAGGAAGAUGGAGGCCCACCAACUGUGCCCUUUCCCAUUCCGGACUUUGUCCUUCCGCCUUCCUUUGAUUGUGACAAUCCUUCUUAUAGGUACCGAAUGUUGGAGCCUGCAUCACAACUUCUUGUGAGGCCAGUUCUGGACUCACAGGGUUGGGACCAUGACUGUGGAUACGAUGGUGUUAGUCUUGAAAGAAAUCUUGCUAUUGCUGAUCAAUUCCCAGGUGCAAUUGCUGUUCAAAUCACGAAGGAUAAGAAAGUGUUCAAUCUCCAUUUAGAUUCCUCAAUUUGUGCAAAGCAUGGAGAAAAUGGAUCAAUAAUGGCAGGAUUUGACAUCCAGACCAUUGGAAGGCAGCUUGGAUAUAUCCUCAGAAGUGAAACCAAAUUCAGGAAUUAUAAGAUAAACAAGACAUCUGCUGGGAUAUCCAUUACUAUGUUGAACAAAAAUGUGGCCACAGGACUCAAAAUUGAGGACCAGAUCGCUAUUGGAAAUCGCUUGUCUUUGGUGGGAAAUGCUGGUGCUGUUAGAUCUGGAGGUGAUACAGCAUAUGGAGGCAACUUUGAAGUUCGCCUCAAGAGCAAGGAUUUUCCUGUAGAGCAGGAUCAAUCCACAUUAGGCUUGUCUCUGGUGAAUUGGAGAGGUGAAUUGGGUGUAAUGGCCAACUUACAAUCUCAGUUCAGCGUUGGUCAUAAUUCGAAAAUAGCUAUCCAUAUUGGAAUGAACAACAGGCAAAGUGGACAGAUCACCAUCAAGACCAGUAGCUCAGAACUGCAACUUGCUCUCAUCAGUAUUAUUCCAAUGGCAAUAUCCAUCUUGAAGAGUCUCUACCCUGGCGGUGCUGCAAGAAAAUCAAAUAUGCUAGACUAGCUUUAUGGUAUCAUUUCACCAGCCUUGAUGAUUAUAACAACUGUGUUCAGUCUGCUAGAAAUUUAAGUUAUUUUUGCAGGCUAAAUGAGUUGUUGAAUAAUGAGAAGAAGCCUGCAUAUAGAUGUAUGACGUUUUUAGUUUAUUUAUAAUUCUGGUUAUCAGUCUUAUUGAGCUUAUUUUUGUGUUUUCAGGAAUUUGCAUUAAUGACCUAAUUUUUAUGCUAAACUUCAUCUAAUGAUUGCCCAAAGAUGACAAUAAGAAGCGCUAUGGAGUAGCAAGUCAGUUUUUUUUUUGACAAAGCAAAGUUUUCAAAUUUGAGGACUGAAUGGUGUGGAAUAUCUGGAUCAAGGUUCAGGAUACCACUGAAAUUUGGAGCAAAAGGCAGCCAAAUUCCCCAAAGCAACUGCCAAAACUCAGAUAACAUCAUUCUUAUAUAUAAUUAUUGGCUUUUUGUUCACUUAUAACAGGUCAAAGUUCUUUUACUGCUUUUAUUAUCUUUUCAAACAUACUGACAUUGGUUAAGUUUAUAAACAAACUGUUAAUUAUUACUAUUAUUAAUCUUAAAGUAAUAGAUCCACACAACAUGCUAGUAAAAGAUCAAUUAAUAUGUUGCAGCAGCCAGCAGCUAUGAAGUUUGGGCAAACUGGGGUGAUGAUAAUCCUUAUCUACUCUAGAAUUAAAAUCUAAAGCUGCCCAAUUAGCCGCUGCUGCAGCUUUUCUCCAUUAUUCUGCAUGUGUGGAAUUUUUCAUGGGAAAAAAAGGGCAGUCCUGCAGUUUUAAUUAAAAAAAUAUAUAUAAAUGUAAACUUACCAAUUUACAAAAUCAAUUUAAUUUACCUACUAAUACAUCUUAAACAAUGUUUACAUGAAUCAAGGUACACCUAGCUCCACCUCUGCUCACAAAUAUUAAAAUUGGUGUUUAAAACAUUAAAAAGAGCUUCUUCUUUUUUUUCGGGUCAUUAAAAUAUGAAAGACUUGGACAAGCAUAGACUUUGAUUAUCAUGUGAUUUUUAUUUUUAAGAUGGUAUAGAUUUUAUCAUAUUCGAAAUAUUUGGCAAAUAGCCAAAUUUAUUAAUGGAACCAAACCACUUAAAUUGGUUGUUCAAUAGACAAGUCUACAAUUAAAUGUAUUUAAUCUAUGUGUAUAAGCCUUAGUCGGCUUAAGAGCCCAUGAAUUGUCUUUCAACCUCACGAAGCAUAUACAUCAUCUUUCUGAUAAUAAAUCAUGGGCAGAGCCGGAGUUUUAUCUUAUACUGACCAGUCGGCAGUCGCCUCACCGGAAUACUGAGUGAAUGACGCCAAGUCCAAGUGUAGCUUUCAUUGGUAGGGAACGAAUCUCGCACCUUAGCUAUCGCCUUUGACCCCCAAGACAAUGUAGGUACUUAGGUACCAGAUAAGCCCUUCUACAUCACAUUUCACCAAACAAACUUUGGCCAACAUAGUCGUAUUGGUGUCAUUUACCAACUGCUUAAAAUAAUUUUUCUUUCGUUCUUCUUGAAAUAAGUUUCUGCAUUAUCAACCAAUUGAUGGGUAAUUUGGGAAUCUUUGUUUGGAGAAAGGAGAAAGAACAAUGCCUGCAUUUAGCUAUACACGAAUCAAGGACCCAUUCUUCUACCUAACUCGUGGUUUCGUUCACAACGUAACCCUUGAAUAAAAAACCAAAUAAGCGUUAAGCUAUUUCUUUAUAUAUAUAUAUAUAUAUAUAUAUAUAUAUAAUUUUUCAUCAUAAAUACUUAAUCCUUCACGCAGAUGCGAGUAUUUAAAGUAAAAAAAAAAAUGCAAUUCAUAAGACUUCCUACCAUAUGUUAUCCGUGUGAAGCAUUAUACCCAGGGAUAAUCUAUAAAAAAUAGGAUAUCAAUAUCGUAAUACGUGUAUACGUGAAUCGAAAACUUUUUUAUCUGAUCAGACCGGACAACAAGAAAUUCGAUCUACCAAGUGCAAAGAAUCAGACCAGCAAUGCUCUUGAAUUUAUCAAAAUCUAGAACGAACAGACCAACCUCCUCAAAGACCGAAAAAGACGGACAAACUGACAUUCUCAAAAGACCGUACUACAACAAGGAUUUGAACGUCGAUGUGGCCGACCUGGAACCGGAAGAAGCUCGUUUUUAUGUAGGUUGAAUGAGUCCGACACGAUUUAAUGAUAUCAGGGUAAAAAUACCAACCUCCUAUGAGCUAAUCGUCGCCUGAUCAUAAGCGCGCAUGUAGAGAUAUGAACCAGUCAGCUCCUCAUCUAUUAACACUCCUGCACAAAAACAUCUCAGCUCCAUCAAAAAGGGACACGGCACUAGGGACAUCGCUCUAUUCAAAAGUAUAUAUACAUUAAACUAAUCCUAAAAAUGAUCUCUUAUUCUCUGAAAAAUGACCUAUUUCUCUCUCCGUCAGAGAGAAUCUGAAACUACUAUUCUUCUCCUCACCGUUUUAUUUCCUUUUAACUCCACUAAGUUUUCAGGUAUGACUUAAACGUUGGAGGGUCUCCACCGAGGAGUUCCCGGUGGAUCACGACUGUUUUCUUCAUUUUACAGGACUCCUUCCUCAAAACCAAGCAUAGAAAUCCAACGGAUAGAUCACAACUCGAUGAUCAACCCAGCGAAUAAGACAUUUGUCUAGGUAUCCUCAUUUAAGCGCCCCGCUGAAUUUCAGCAUUAUCACCUAGAUUUGCCUCCUCUUCCCCAUCUGCCGCCACCACCACAAACUCCCAAGCCUCUUGGGGCUAAAUGGAGAGAUAGCAUGUCAUAUUCCGAGUUCAACUCCAGACAAAGUUGCAGAGUGUAUAUGGUAAUUAAGCAAUUGAUAACACAAAGGAACUAGAAGCCUGGAAAGAAUGAGGACUAUCUGCAAAAGUACAAAUUUCCAGCAUUUGCAGAACUAACGCUUUAUAAUACUUUCAAGUGAUAGUAAUUCGUGUUUCAAUUAGGUUUCUCCAAUUUGAGAAGUUCUUUGUGUGCUUUUACACCUGAAGAAAAUAAAUCCAAUUCACAUUAAAGUUUAUUUCAUUCAGAUAGUUUGCAUUUGACAAUGCCCGGGCCACAAAGAUUAGAUUAGUCCAAUAGAUCUAAAAAGGACCCCAAGUACUCAAAAUUGGAUCCAUAUUAGGAGAAAAGGAAUUCCCCAGCUCGUGAGAUCAAUAGAUCUAAAAUACUCCUCUGCCUAAACAGUUAUAGCAACACUAUCCUUGUAUAACUGGUACAGUGAUAGCCAAUAAAACUCAUCUUGGUAGGAAAGAUGUUAUUGGACCACCUAAAUAAAUUCAUUACUAUUCUCUCUCCUUGUAUGACCUAGAUAAUCACAUUCCAAUCCCAACUUUAACUUAAUUGUCAAAGUGUGGUUAGCAGACUCAAGGUCUAGGUCUUCUGUGCAGGAAAACGAGAACAAACUUGAAAUCUCCUCGGCAAUAAUUAUUCAGAGAGAAUAAGUUGAAUACUCAAGCACAAACGCUUUAGUUGGUAAAAUAUAGAUAAAAAUAGUACCUAUGCAAGAGUUUCCUUUCUUUCUUUCUUUCUUUCAAGAAUCAAUGUAAAUUUAAACACUAAUAAUACACAAAAUUAGGAAAAAGAAAAAAAGAGAAUACAAUAUCCAUGGUCACCACAAGCAAUAAAUAGAAAUUGCGUGCAAUUUGACAUGUACUGUAAUUUUAAACAAACAACAGCCAGUGGCGCAUUCCAUUCUUUUCAAAGCUCUCAUGAUGAUGUUUGUACCUUAGGUCUCAAGAUGAUGUUGAUAACUUAACAGCUUUGAAUGCAGGAUGAAGCAACCCAAGCUCAUCUUUCACUUCAAGUGGAUUGCUACUCUCAUUCCUUACUCUUUUAACUCUUCUGCUAGCAAGUGAUUUAUGAGUAAACCCAUACAUCUGCAAAAUUUGAUUGUCCCCAAAAUUGAAAGCUCGAUCCAUCUGCUUCAAACACCUUUCCACUGGAUAAUCACCAAACUUGCCACAUGGCUUGCAACCCACAAAGUGAGUCACAAGUGGCCACCGGUGAUCACCAAGACCCGGAUGAUAAUUCUCGAUCAUUUCCUCGUAUCGAUCAACCAAAAUCCCCCAAUAACCGUGCAAAUAAUAAGCACUCUCUAGAUAAACCUUGUCACCCCACUUAUCCCUCUGUGUACCCAAUAGAUAAACCAUUGCAGACUGAUCAUCAGCUUCGAAAACGGGCCUGUCCUUGAGCUCCCUAGUGAGUAUCUUCCCAGCUUCCUCCCUAAUCUUGCCUUUGGGUCCCAUUGGCGCCCAGGCAUCCAAAAUAUCCAAAGCCCACUGGGAAUUCCUCAACAGGAAACUCCCAGUAUUCAAUCCAAUCCAAUUUUUCUGAUCAUAGACCAUUUCAUUCCACCCGUGCAUCACAAAAUUGGAAUCCUUGUACCUCUCCCAAGGGACCUCAAAUGCCAUAUCCGUAAACAUGGCAUCACUAUCCAUCCACCACAAGAACUCGAUCUCCGGAUGGGACAGCAAUAGCUUCCUUAUCAACGGAAGCUUUGCCCAGAAGCCAGCCAUUUCCGCAUCAAGGAGAGCCAUGUUAUAGAAAAUCUCAAUCCCAUGAAGCCUGCAGUAAUCGAUCUUGUUCUUAACCGACUUCAACAAGUAAUGAUCCCCAACCGGAUUCUCACAAGGUUUAGGCGAAGAUCCCGUCACUAAGAGCACUCUAGGCUUGUUAGGCCCAAUAAAAUUAGGGAAAUUAGGGUUUUUUCUCAACCACUCAGCUCUCUGCUCGUCCCAAUCCGAAAUUUUGGGACCAAGACUGUAAGGUUUGUUCGGAUCCGGCUUCUCAUCCUGCCCCUCAUCAACCAGUAUCUUAUUAAUAUCAAAUGUGGCAUAAUUGUUGGGAUCGUUGUUAUUAUUGUUGACAUUUUGAGCUGACUCGGUAGCGGGUUGGGCCUCGACGAGAACUCGAUGGGGCUCCGCGUGCUUGCGGGAGGCGUAGAAGCGGUCGCGGAGAUCAUUGAAGUCCUGCUCUGGAGUACCAUACUUGCCGGCGCCGAUAGAACCACGUAAGACGAUCAUAGUCAUGAAGAGGCAAAAGAGGGUGACUUUUCCGUGGCGAAUCGCUCUCUGAAUCCUAAGGACUCGAUGAGUCCCGAGACACCGCUCCAGCAUUUUGACUCAGUUAAGAGCUUCCUUAACCCGCUUUCUUUCAGCGAUUAAUGGAAGACCUCGUUUGGCUUGUGAGGCAGGGAACUGAGAACAGUAUAAUAUUAAAAGUAGAACUGUUAGAGGAUAUAGUGGGAAAUGAGAGAAAAGUAAGGGGUGAUUAAGAAGGGGAGAGUCGGUGGAUGGAGUGGGGAAGUGAGAGCUGGAAUGGAAAGAAAGGAAAGGAAAACGAAGAUCUAGCAGGGAGAAGAAGAGAAGAGGAAAGUCCCAAAGGGCAGAAAUGGAAAUUCAUAUAUCAUCAUUAUUAAAUUAAUUUGCUGUAGAAUAAUAAUGUUGCGUCUGUAUGCACGUUUACGGAAUCAAUCCCAUACUUGGCAUAUGCAGCCAAUCCCGCCGAUUUGAUGAAUUAUUAAUUAAUAAAUCUAAUUCAUUGAAAUUUCCUAAUAUAAAUUUUAACAAAAACGUAAAAGUGUUUUUUUCUUUAGUUAUUCUUUAGAAUAAUAUUUUAUUUUUUAUAAAUUAAAAAUAAAUGUAUGUUUAUGUAAAUAAUUAAAACCUGAGCUUAGCUUUAUUCCUGCGCCUGGUUUUGACCUUCUGACUUUUUAACACAUGGAACUCGGAGGGGCGGAGGAUCAUGUCUGGUUAUGAGGUUACUUUCUCCGUGUUCAGACCAUAAAAGGAAGCAGAUUUUACAGGUGUGCAUGGUUAAUCUCGACUAGGACUUUUUCUGUCCUAGGAUAACUUCAAGCUGUCUCCCAUUGGAUCAUUAAGUUUAGUCUUUAAUCCAAUAGUAACCAGGGUCAAGGAAAAAUCAAAGACGCGUGAGCGGAGAAAGUAACUAGGGUCAGAUGCCCAACCCAAACCAAACAGGGGGUGACAAAUUGUUUGAUGAUGGUCUCCACUUUACCAAUAAGGCAAUGGCAUGCGAAUACAGUCCUAAAAAUUGACCAAGAGAAGACAGGGUCACAACUACCAAGGCAAUGGAUACCUCCCGAACCUUUAGGGCAAGCAACGGACCAAUCGGUGCUCAAAUGGACAUGGCCCAAGGCCACUAGAGUCUAGACCCAUGAAGGGCGUUGAACCAUCUAAAUGUUUGUCUUUAUUUAUAAAUUAAUCAAAUUAAUUUAUAAAUUUUAAAAAUAUGUAAAUUUAUAUAUUUAUAAUAUUUUAUGAGUUUAUAAACUGCAUAAAAUCAGAGACAAGUAACAGAAUUUUUAUUUUAAUGUUUAUAAAUAUUAAAUUUGUAAAUUAAUUUGACUAAAUAAAUUAUAUUUUCAUUUAAUUUUAAAAUUUCAUUACUUAUUUUUUAAUAUUUUUUAAAAAUUUUUAAUAAUAAAUUUAUUUAUAUAUUACUUUAUUAAAAAAUAUAUUAACUAUGUAUUAGUCACUUUUAAAUAUUUUAAUAAAAUACAUAAUUACUUAAGUCUCAAAUGAUUUAUAAAGAUUUAGUAUUUAUAAAAUAAUUUUCGUAAGCGCCUUCUAGGUGCAUUAGGGUUACAGAACGAAACCAAAAGGUUUUGGCUAAGGCUAGGCCUAGCUACUCAGGAUCACUUUGUCCUCAAAUGCAUACCAUUUUUACAAUUUAAUUACAAAUUCAAUAAUAUUUAGUACUAUUUUUUAAAAUCUGAAUCAAAAUUUCAAUUUAAUGAGAAUUGAAAAUAAAAAAAAAAACAUAAUUGUAACUAAUUUAAAAUUAAACUGAAAUGUUAAAAAAUUAAAAUAGAUCUAUUUAAUUUCAAUUUGAACCAUCAAAUUAUAUCGAACCAGUAAUUAUGUUUAAUUAGAGUUUGAGGGAUAAUUUAUGUAGCCUUUUUUUUAUUUUAAAAUUAUUUAAUUAAAAUAUUUUUAUUAUUUUACUAAGCCAAACUCUUUAAUUCCUCUAUUAAAAAAAUAUUAAUCACCUUUAAUAUUUAGAUUAUAUAAUUUUUAAAAUUUUAACUAUAUAUUAUCUAGUGUUGUAAUUUUUAGAUAUUUUAAUUAAGAUUAAAAUAUAUUGAGAAAAAUUUUUAAUGUAAAGAGUAAAUAAUUUUUUAAAAUAUAUAAAUUUUAUUAAAUUAUUUAUAAAUAAAGAUGAAUUAAUAAAUUUUAAAAAUUGAAGGAGGUAUCUUUGUUUUCUCAUCUACCGGUUAUAGCUGUAUCGUAAAUACAAUAAUGGAGUUGGUUCCAGUUGUUUCCCUUCUUGCUUGAAUGAAACAAAUAAUCUUNNNNNNNNNNNNNNNNNNNNNNNNNNNNNNNNNNNNUCUGACGACGGAAAGAAUAUUCUUAAUUUAACUUUUUUUAUUCGACAUUUUCUUUUAAACUUCGUUUUGGGUAUCUUUAAAAAUAACAUUUCCAUAGUAAACUAUAUAAGAAAAAAAGAAAGUAUUUAGAUUCAGGAAAUAGAACUUAAGUAAACUAAUUAUUAUUAUUUUUAAUAAAUAUUAAAAAAAAGAAAGGGAGGGAAAUUAUAGUAAACCAUAAUUUAUCCUGCGUAUUUUUUAAAAGAAAAUAUAUAAAGGUAUUUAUAAUUUUUAUAUAUAAAUUGCACUUUUCUCUUCUAAAUUUAUUAUUUUUUUCCCUCAAUUUAUAUCUCUUUUAAUAAAUAAGAAAAAAAAUACUAAUUAUCUUUUUUACUUUUGGACUUUUUUUAAAAUAUUUUCCGCACAAUCAAACGAAUUGGUUACAAAACAUAAAAAUUGAUUUAUCAACCUCCUUAAUUUUUGGGACCAGAAAAUUGUCCAGACCAGCCGUAAUUUAUACACCAAACAUACCCCUGACCUGCUCUAUAGAUUGGAGAACGAAGGAGGGACAAAUCCGUAAUUGGGUGAUUCUUUUUCUUCUCCCCACAUUUCUAUCCAGAAAUUCACUAGACACUUUGCUCGUCUCCCUCUGCUUCCAGUUCCAGCUGUAAUAUCCAACUACCCAAAUCCCAAACCCAAUUACCAGACAAGAACUCCAGAAAUGGUAAAUAUUUUACACAAAAUUAAAAGAAAAGAAAUCCAGCAUGCUGUUUUUUGGAUUGUUUAUCUUAUUCCACGCAAUUUUGAGAAUAUUUAUCAUGAGAUUGGACUAGGGUUUUUGAAUUAUUGAACGAAUUUUCGAUCUAAUAUCUUCGAUCUCUUGAACCCUAUAGUUCAAAUUUUGUUGAUAUUUUGAUUUUCUCUAAUAAUCGAUGAAAUUUCUAUCUUGACGAUGGAACUCUAGUUGAUUAUUAUUAUUAUUAUUAUUAUUAUUUUGUUGAUGGGAUUGAAUAUGCAAAUUACCAAAGGAUCUUUACGUAGUUUGGGAAACAAUGGAGUAAAUUUGAGUGGUGCGAGAUCUGCUUCUAGAUGCCAAGCACAAAAGCCUUGUAUCUUAUGUUUUUAACUGCAUUAAAUUGGGGUGACGAUGAAUCAGUUGCAGGAUAGAAAGGUUCGGUAUUGAUGAUGCAUGCAGUGUGUUGGAAUUUUGAAAACCUUAUCAAUCUUUUGUUUGUAUGCAUUUGAGUUUCUGUUCCCUUCUAUUUAUGAGAGCAGUUAUAUUGUUACUUUUGGGAUUAUUCGUUAUUAUAAAUCCUUUUAAUGGGACCUUAACAAUAUUCAGAAGCAAGACAUGGUUAUCUGGUAAAUACAAGAGGACUUACGUAAGAUUGUUCUAUGUAAUAUUAACUGUUGAGUGGCUAGCACUAGAUUAAUUUUUCUAGUGAAGUGCAAUGGCCACUGUGAAACUGAUAUCUAGCCUGCAGGUAAAAUGUUUGGGCUGUGGGGUGAUUUGUUUUGCUAAUUAUUAAAUUUGUGGAUGGAUGACAGCAUAUGGUUGCAUUUAGAGUGCAAUAAAAUUUAAUUUGCUUGAUGCCUUACUGUCAUUAACUGUUAAUUGCUUCCUUUCUUCUGCAUCCAUUUUAUAUUUCUUAGCUGCUUAUUCUGUACGAUACUCUUUGUAACAAUUUUAUGUUGAAAAAUCCUAUUGGUUAUUAUUAUUGUUUUGCAGGAUGGGCAUGAUGCUAAAGAUCCAAAGCAGAGUACUGCUGAUAUGACAGCUUUUGUAAGAUCCUGAACUCAGCUUCAAGGACAUUGUAUUAACCCAUCUAGCUAUUCUCAAAUAAAAUGACAUGAUUUAGCCAAAAACACAACCUCCAUUCAGUCAUAAUGAUGAUUUAGGUAGAUGAGCUAUGAAAUUCUCAUUCUGGUACCUAUCAGGAGCAUAUUUGGCCAUAAGCAUUAAGUUAUUCUUAAAUGGUGCAUAGUGUUAUGAUUAUAAUAUGUCAUCUAUUGCUUUAAUUUGGCAGCUGUGCCUCAUAUUCCUUGGGAAUGCAGCUGUUAGUGUAUGCAUUUUUUGUUUCCUUCCUUUUUCAUCGUUUGGAUUGCAUUUAUUUUCCACAGAGAUACAAUAUAGGUACAGCCAUAUCAUAAAUGUCUUCACUUCACCAUAUUUCCAAUAAAGCUUUUGCUUUAACUGUUUGCUGCAACAGUUCUCUAGUAUGGUUCAGAUGAUUCAAUGUUUACCCUUUGCUGAAUUUUCAUAUUGCUUCUGCAGGUACAAAAUCUACUUCAGCAAAUGGUGAGUUUGUGGUUAGAUAUGUCUGAGGAUUUGUACUUAUUGAAUCACACAUCGGUUAUGGAAAUGGGUAAUGUACCCCUUAUAUGGGCUAUAGACACUCCUCCCUUGAACUAGCUUUUGGGGUAAGUUAGGCCUAGCUCAAAUUUAACAUGGUAUCGGAGCUUCCCAUCCGAUGUUGGGCUUUCCAUAAAUAUGUCACGCACCAGUAAAAAUUCUGAGCGUGAGGGGUGUGUUGAAUCCCACGUUGGUUGUGGAAAGUGUUAAUGUGCCCCUUAUAUGAGCCAUAGACACUCUUCCCCUUUGAGCUAGUUUUUGGGUGAGUUAGUUCUGGCCCAAAUUUAACAUGGUAUCAGAGUCUCCCAUCUGAUGUUGGACCUCCCAUAAAUAUGUCACGCAGCAGUAAAAUUUGGGCGUGAGUGGGUGUAUUAAAUACCACGUCGGUUGUGGGAAAGGUAAUGUGCCCCUUAUAUGGGCCACAGGCACUCCUUCCUAAGCUAGCUUUUGGGAUGAGUUAGGCCCGGCCUAAAUUUAAUAGUACUGAAGUUAUUGAAACUAUGAGCAGAUUUACCUAGUUUAGUUGUUGCAUUUUGCAGCAAACCAGGUUCCAGACAAUGUCGGAUUCCAUCAUUACAAAGAAUAUCCUGCUCUUCUUCAUGUGUUGAUUGCAGAUUAUCUUGCCAAAGAAAAUGAGAUUUCCUUUGCUAUUAGAAUCCUUAAAUUGCUUAUCAGGUGGAUAGAGGGAAGGGGAGUCACGAGGGAAUGUAUUUUGAAAUCUAUCUAGAAACAUGAAAUCAAUUCAUUUUAUCUUUGUGGCAUUUGGAGGAAUAUCUUUUAAACUUACUUCAAUGGUAUCAUUUGCAAAACUGCAAUGGUCAUUGUUGAGCUUAGGGGUUUUCAAAUGGGGACAUGAAAUGGUCACUGAAAAAUUUAUAAAUUUAAUUCUGUUGAUCAAAUCUAAAUUGUGUUCCUUUCAUUGCUCUAGGUUCUAGCCUUGUUUUAAUGUAGACAAUAACGUGAAAUGGAAUUGAAUGUUGAUUUCUUUGACCACAAUGCACUUGACGAAAUGGGCGGCAGGAUAGAUGAGCUGGAGCAAAGCAUCAAUGGUCUCAGAUCUGAGAUGGGGGUAGAGGGCUCCCCAUCUCCUUCAGCUCCUUCCAAGGUGAAAGAAGAACCCAAGUCUGGCACUGAUUCUUCAGUUUAGUAACAAUAUACUGUAGUGAUUAAACAAAACAAAAUAUUUCCUCUACAGAGACAUUUCGGUCGAGUUGUUUUCUAAUUUUGAUUUAAAGGCAGUAUAUCAUCUGGUAAAGCUUUGUAUUCAUGUUCAAUAACUGAGUGUCCGGUUUGAUUUCUGUAUCUUUGUUCUCCCUUCUUUUUUUCUUUUUCAAAUGUCAAUGAACAUAAUGAAUGAAAUUCAUGGCUUUUGAGUUGUUAGUCUUUUGUUAUGGAUGAUUUGAAGAAAGAAUAUUUGUCUUAUAUUGUGAAUUAUUAUGCAUCCAGCUACCGCCCCAGAACAUGGUUGAAAUUUAAAAUAUAUAUAUAUACACACACAUACAGAAAAGAGGGAUUUUUAUGGUGGUCCAGGUACGAAUUUUAAAUGUCUAAUGUGACUGGGGCUUGUGAGGUGUGUUAUUUAUGUCCUAAAUAAAGGCGAAGAAAGAUGCUUUUUAUGGAGCUACCCCAGCUAAACCAUCAGAUCGCAUCCACUAAAAUUUGUCUGUCCGUGUGGGGUAACGGUGGUUGCUGUCAUUGAGAGCGGCGAUGGGAUUCUUGAAACCAAAAAGCUAGGAAAAAAAAAGAAUUCAAAUUAUUAAAUAAAAAUUAACACCACAAAAAAUUAAUCCAAAAUUGGCUGGGCCACACAUGCAAUCUAGCUACAGCUAACAAAGUGUAUGGUUUGGAGCUAAAUUUAGCACCAGAUAUUUUGUUCCUAUUUGCAUUCACAUAAUCACGUUACUUGUUCAUCCAGAUUCAAAAUCACGUUACUUGUUUAUUGAUUUUCUCUGUGCUGCAUGUUAGUUGUUUGCUGAUUUUGGUGGACCUCAAAAACUGAAAAAUUGCAUUUCUUUAGCUUGAUUUUAUAUUAAAUCAAAUUAAUAAAAUUUAAACCAAGCAUUUAUACAAAUUCAUAAAUUAUGUAUAACCAAAAAGAAAAUUAUAUAAAUUUUUAAUCAUUUUAGAAUACUAUCAAUUUUAUAUACCAAAACAGCAAAGUUGUAAAAAGAUUAGAAUGAUAUCUGAAAAAUAGACAGGUUGGUUAGAGUAAAUUUUUUCUUGGUUUCGAGUUGGAAGUUCGCAUAGGAUGCAUUUUAAAAAAGAUCACUUCAUCUUCCGACAAAAAUCUAAAACAAUCCGAACAAUAAAUUUCGAAUACCAUCCAGACAAAAAAGGACUAUAAUCAAAUAUUCCAUAACGGCGAAGUUGUAGGAGGACUAGAAAUUAUCAUAGAAUUCAACGAUAUAAAGUAACAACAAUAAAAGAUAAUUACUUUUUUUCAACUUCUAUGUUUAUUCCACACACCCACCUUAAAAACAUGUGUACACGCACAAUUAACACAUAACAAUCACUUAUAGUAAUUAUAAUUAUAAACACCCAGAUACAGUAAGUAUGGUAAAAUGUUUAUAUAUAUAAAAAAAAAAAAAAAAAAUUUCUGAAAUCGAAUAGGCAAAAUAUUAGGAAAAAUAAAUCAACUUCUGCAGCGAGUAAUACGGUUGCAACCGCGAGAGUAGGGGUUGGCCUGAGCUCCAGGUCGGCAAUUGUAAUACGAAGCGCCGCGUCUCGAACAUGGCACGGUGUUCCUCCUCAGAGCUCCGUAGCUUAUGUAUUUGUUUGUCGCUAAGAUGCGCCGGUUGAUCUCAGUGUCCAUCGCGAACUCCAUCCCGAAAUCUUCGUCUUCGCCCAUCAAGCACUCGGCGAUUGAUCCGCGGCAACCCGAUUCCAUCGGAAUGAAAUUGACGGCUGCCGUUGAUGAUGUUGAUACAACCACGUGGACGGCCAGUAUUGCACAAAUCAGGAGAAUACAGUAGUUGUUAGAGCUUCCCAUCUUUCAGGCUCUCUCUCUGUGGUUUGGAAUUGUAAGAAUGUAAGGGGAUAAAAAUGAGACGAGCUAGGAGAUUAUAAGUGACGGCCGAAUUGAAAAUGCCAUUGAUGUAAGGAAAUAAUUACGAGAAUGCCACUGAGAAUUUAAGAUGACUUCAGCUUUACUUAGAAUCUAAGGUUGUCAAUACAAAUGUGGACAUCCACUAAUAACUCUUUUGACGUUAAGCCCAUCUAAAUUGAGAGAGCGAAGAAAACCCUUUUUUUUUUUUUUUUUUUACAAUAUUAUUCAAAAAUAAUUUAAUCGUUUAAAACUUUGUAAUUACAAUUAUAAAUUUGAAAUUUAAUUAUUUUUAAUUAAUAUAUUUAAAAUUUUAACAACAACACCACAAAUAUUUUUAAUAAUUUAAAAUUAAUUAGGAGUUUGUUAUUUCAAUAAAUGGAAUGAUGGGGUUGAUGAAGUUGGGGGUAGAAUUAGUGGGCAGCCAAAUCUGAAAAUGAAGGGUGGCUUUGGCUUUUUUUGCAAGAUGAUGGAAAAAAUUUCAAUAUUUGUUAAUUGUAUAGCAUCAAACUCAAAAUCAUGGAAAAAGAGAAAAAUAAGUAUGUUGUAUUGGAUAAGGUCAUAGUCAUUUUCAAUGGAAGGCAAUUUUUAGCGCAUUUUGAUGCUUGAUGAUGAUAUGUUUAUGUCCUAGUGAGCUCAAUUUAUAUAUAUAUUAUUCUUUUUUUUUUAAUAUAAUAUAUAUAUUUUUUAAAUUGUAACAUUUAAUUCUUUAAUUGAUUUGCAAGAUUAUGUGUAAAUACAAAAUAAUUAAAUAUUUUAUUUAUAUUGUUGUUUAAAUAUAUUAUAACAAUAUCAUGAGUUUUUCUUUUAUGAUCCAAUUCCAAAUCUUAGACAUGGCCUUAAUAGAAACCUUGGACCUUGGUCCAGUCCUCAGCGGCAUCAACAACUCGGACGGAGAUUAUUAGGCGUCAUAACUCACAAUGCUAUAUAGAAAGGCCCAAUUAACUUUAGUCAUAUACUUUAAUUGUUUUUAGAAAAAAAGAAAAAACACUUAAAUUAAUAACCAGUUCCAUUCAGAACAAUUAAUAUCAAUUGGAUAUUAUUAUUAAACCUAUAAUUAUAAAAUAUUUAUUAUUUCUCUAUCUCUAUUUUUAUUAGAAUUUAGUAUAUUUAUUAUUAUUUUUUAAUUUGCAAGCAAAAAUUUUAAAGUCCAUGAAAUAUUAAUUAGAAACACAUAAGCGAUAGUUCAUUGACAUCAUUGGAGUAUACAGCUGAGCAAACCUUUCGUUUCAGGCAGAUAUGCUGAAUAUUUUUACAAUUUCAUUUGGUUAUGCAACUGAGUUUGACCAAAAUUAGGAGCUGAUCCAACACCACUGGCUUUAUAACCUUGUACGAGGAUAGAUUUGGAAUUAGGACAGCUGCUGUUGAUACUUCAAUAUAGUGUAUAGUUGAUCCUGGAGUUAGCUACAACUUCAUUCACCAGCGCCCCAACUCUGAGCUAACUAUUUUAUCUCUAAAAUUAAGGUGAGAGUGAAAUUAUUGUUACAAAUGGAGGUGGUGGGCCUGAAAUGCAUGGUUGGUGGGCCGGCGGAUUGGAUUGAACGGUGGGCAAGCGUGGAUCCUGGGCCAUACACACAAAAAAACACAGUGAUUAUUAGAAAUAAAUCGUGGCUCUGAUUUGGUUUUGAAAAAUUAGAGCAUGUAGUUUGGAUUUUGGUGUAUAAUAGAUGGCUGAACUCAGCAAGGCAGCGACUGUACUUGUACGGUACCAUUUAUGGUCCACUUGUGUACAUUGUUUGUAACUUUGUAAGAUGGGGCUGUGCUCUUCUCAGCCGUCUCAUUCUUUAUUAUUAUUAUUUUUUUAUUUGAAAUUGGAUUUUUAGUCUAGGAAAAAAAACUCAUAUAUUCAAAAUCAAAUCCAUAUCAAAGUCAACUCUAUAUACGAAAUCAAACCAUUCAUAUAGUAAAUCAAAUCUUUCAAUCCAACCCAAAAACAACCCUAGCAACAAUGGUAAGCCAAAGCUACGCUAUUGCCAAAAAAAACAAAAAUCUACGUCUCAUUCGCUAACUGAUCAACCCUACAUGGGUUUUGAUCUGGGUGCCCAAAUUUCCAAGUCUAAAGCCCAUUUGGCAUUAAAGUUUGGAUACUCCUAAUGAAAUCAUGCCGCUAGCCAUACAAUAUUCGAAACUAUAAAACCAAGCCAAUCAAACCAGCCGGUCCAACCAACCCAAAAAACAAGAGUGGAAUAUACCUGAAAAAUGUAAUGAGGAAUGGCAGUAUGGUAAUUUAGAAGAGGAAACGCGGUAAUACCGGGGAUAGAAGUUGAAGAGAGGUACGGUUAUAGAGGCCGUCUCUGAAGAGACGGAGAGACAAGAAGGGAGAGAGAAGAGUGUUCAAAAUUUCCAAUACAAAUCAUUUCCGGUGGUUGAAUCCUGUAGAUGAGGACUCAAAUUUGAGCCAAAGAAAAAUUCCCCUUGUUAUAGCAAAGACCCUUCUCCACCAUCCAUUCUCUCCAUGCUCUAAAGCCAACGCUUUUGACGUUCUUCUUCGAUACAGAUUCUCCACUAGUCUUUUUCCUUUCCUUCAAUUCCUCUAUCUGCGUGUCUUCUUCUCUUCUUUGCUUAUUCUUCUGCUUUUGUUUCUCCUUUUAUAGGCUUUGUUAUCAACUCACAUCCUUCUGCUCUUUUUCUUCUUCUCUUCCCUUACUCGUCACCACUUAUACUCUCUACUGGAGAUAUAUACUGUCGCAUUCUGUUUCGCGCUUUUCUUCAUCUGGGUACCUUGGAGGAUCAAAAGGCUGAGGUGGGUCUUGUUUUUUUUUUUUCCUUAUUCUCUGCGUGCCUUUGUAUAAUUUAACUGCUUUAUUUGUUCUUCUGUAAUAUGAAAUUGGUAUUUCUGUUGGACUGUUUUGUUCUGUAUGUUGGUGUAUAUCUGGUUGUUUCUUUCGCCAUUUAUUAUUGGAGUACUGAAUUUUGGAUAAGAGUUGUAGGCUUUAAGCUUGCUUUGUUGAUUCUCUGCUAUGCCUAUGUUUGAGUUGAUUGCCUUAAUUGUAUUUGUAUUCGUAUUUAGCCUUCAAUAGUUUUCUCCUCAUGUAAAAGUACCAAGAUAAAGAACUUAUUUAAUCCAAUCAUUUCAGAUAAUUGGAGAGGUCUGUCUCUGUCUCUGCACUUAUUGACAGUCGGUUCUAGGACUUCUAAACUUUGGCAUAGCGAAGAGUUUCUAAGAAUGCUUUUGAUGUUAUUGAUCUUUUCGGUUAUCGUUCAUGCAACAGUUUACUUUCUGAAAUCUAUCGCUUAAACCUUUCCUUUUAUGUUUUAAUUCUCGAAUGUUUUCGCCCACCAAGAGAGAUUGAAGGAUUAAAAAAUUGAAAUUCAACAAGUGAAUAGUUUCAAAAUGAAAUAAAGCUUGGUCUCGUACAGAUCUUUGAGUUGUUACCUACAAAGGUAGGUAUUUUAACAGAACUGGCAGCCUAAUACAAGGUACGGGUUGUGGUUAUUAUAUGAAAUGCAGUUUCUUAAAAGAUUAUGGAUCGUAUUAGAAUCUUCCUAGAGUCAAAUUUCACUACUCUAAUUACUGGAUUUUAGACAGCUUGGUAUAUGGAGAUUUCAGUCAGGAUAUCAAGGAGUCCAUUUGUGAGCUCUGUUGUUGGUUGAUAUAUCUGUUAACCCAUAGGUCCUUAUGAAUGUGGUUUUACUGCAAAUUGCAAAGAUUUGAUGUCACCAAUUGAAUUUACUUAUAAAUUUUUUCAGCAUUACUAUUAUGGAUAUUAAUCCUGCAUAUGCUUCUUUUCUUUUAGUAAUAAACAAUGCGAGGGGCAAGUUCAGUUAAUCCUGAGGGAGAAAUCAAAGUGAGUUUUGGCUAUCAUUGCAACAGUCAUAGCGGCAGCUCUUGUAUGGUUUCCAAUGGGUAUGAAAACCUGCAGAGCACAAAACUCCAUAGGGACAGCAGCUUUUCUUGCUUGACUGGUGCUGCCCUAAGUGCUAAUGCCACUUUGGCUAAUACCAAUAUCUGUAAUGGUGUGAUAGGAGCAGAAAUACUUCCCAGUUUGGACUCCCCAAACUCAUUCCGAAAAGUUCCCUCUUCACCAACCCUUUCAAGGUUGGACAUAUUACCAUCUUCUCUUCAAAGCAGCAUGUCAAACUUAAGUUGCAGCCCAUCCAGCCCAAGUCCACCAGAAUAUGAUUCUUGUCCUUUAAAAUCCAUGAGUGCACCUUCUAGAAGUGAAGGCUUCCUUAAUGCCAUUGAAGUUCAAGUGGCAGGUGGAGCUGCUGGUGAAGACAGGGUCCAAGCUGUCUGUUCUGAAGAAAGUGGGUGGCUACUCUGUGCAAUCUAUGACGGUUUUAAUGGAAGAGAUGCAGCUGAUUUUUUGGCUGGGACAUUGUAUGAAAACAUCAUCAUGCACACCAACUCUUUAGACUGGGAAUCAAGGCAGAAUGUGAACAGAGCAUCCAAUGGUAUGUAUCUGGAUGGGUCCCUAAAAUAUCCUGCUGAGGUUGGUAAUCUUAGUCUUGGAGAAAAAAGUCCAUCAGGUUGUCUUAAUACUAAGUAUUCAAAUAUAAACAUAGCCACCAAGAAUGGUGUACAUUCCAAAUUGGAAAUUUCAUCUGAUUUAUUUAGGCAUGAAGUACUUGACAGCCUUCAGCGGGCUCUUAGUCAGGCUGAGAAUGAUUUCUUAAACAUGGUGGAGCAGGAAAUGGAGGAACGUCCUGAUCUAGUUUCUGUAGGAUCUUGUGUCUUGGUUGUUCUUAUCCAUGGAACAGAUUUGUAUACACUGAAUUUAGGUGAUAGUAGGGUUGUUUUGGCAACAUAUGAUGGAGACUAUGUGGGGAGUGGGUAUGAGCACCUAAAAGCUGUCCAGCUCAGUGAUUGCCACACUGUUGACAAUGAACUUGAAAGAACCAUGCUAUUGAAGGACCAUCCUGAUGACCCUGCAACAAUUGUAUUUGGAAAAGUGAAAGGAAAAUUGAAGGUCACCCGUGCUUUUGGAGUUGGCUACUUGAAAAAGGUUAGUACUAUUUGUUAUAAUUAGCUCUCUAAUCAAGCUUCAUAUAAUAAGGAUUGCUCUGCCUUAAACUGAUCUUAUUGGUAAGAUAUGUUCUGGCUUCUCUUGUGAUGUACUUCUUUUCUGCAGAAAAAGCUAAAUGAUGCGCUGAUGGGUAUUCUUCAAGUUCGUAACCUCAUAAGCCCUCCAUAUAUUUCUACCCAACCAUCAAUGAAUGUUCAUAAAAUAUCAAAGUCUGAUCACUUCCUCAUAGUUGGAAGUGAUGGAUUAUUUGAUUUCUUCAGCAAUGAUGAGGCAGUAAAGCUUGUGCAUUCUUAUAUCUUGAGCAACCCCAAUGGUGAUCCUGCAAAAUUUCUGUUAGAGCAGCUUGUGGCAAGAGCAGCAGAUUGUGCAGGUAACUUUUCUGGCAAGGUCUAUAUCAUGCUUUUAUGUCUGUUUCAUUCAUAUCAACAACGCUCGUCCUCUCUCUUUUUGAACCCUUCUUUUCUUUUUUCUACAUUGUGAUUAAACACUUAAUCUCCCAACGCAAGAAAGAAAAAGGAUGAAACUCAGACUUGCUGAAAAUUUUCAUCAAGUAGCUAGGAAAAUGGUAACUGGCGCAUUAAUUCUAUGUGCUUAAUUUUCCAAGUGUCAGUUGAC
rnacentral:lncRNA from 1 species